AAGCGCGCCCAGGCUCCGCUCUGCUGUGGGCACCACCCAUACACCUGAUCCGGACAAGAUCGUGGCGUUAUCACCUUUCUCCCUGAGUUCUGCCCCAAAACACCCACUUCCGUGAAUGCUCACAGCCCCUCAGGCAGAGAAGAGCGCCCCACCUGCGCUCUCAGCACCAAGGUCCAGGGUACCGGUGUCUCAUCAAGGCUUGUCUCAACAAGACAGCAACUGAAAAUCUCGACAUCUCAUCACAGGUUUUGAAGCCUGCUCAUCCUGACCAAGCCUUUCUGGAUCUCAUCAACAUGAAGGAACUCUCCUUAUGCCCUUCCAAGAUCUGUGCAAUACUUCUUGGAGUGACUUCCCGGUGAUGCCAACAGCUUUCCCUGGCACCCCCAAGCAGAUUAAGUGGAAGACCACAGCAGUUUGUGGCCUCCAGCCCUCUUCCUUUUCUCCUCAGCUGCCACCACUGUCCUGCUCCUCAGUGGUUCUGACUGGACUGUGCUUAAGCCAUGUCUCAACUGAGUAUCACCAGUGAGCUGAGGACCAAGGCCUGGCAAAGCAGGAAAAAAUACCAGCAUGGGUUUGCUAAGAGAUCAAGGUCUGCAAGGACUUGUCCCUGGUAAGAAAAAUAAAUGGUAAGUGAUGAAAUCA
rnacentral:lncRNA from 1 species